UAUUUUACUUGCAUGGCCUUAUAUACCCAUUUAAAUACAUUUGAAAUAAAUUUGUUAUUUGAAGUUCUUCCUUUUGAUAGGGAUGUGCAAGUCGGAUAGCUUGAACUGAAAAUAACUUGGACCGAAUUGAACUAGCCAAUUGAGUUUGGGUCCCAUAAGUGUAGGUCUAAUUUUCAAUCCUAAAAGGGAAUCAAACAGGAUCAACUAUAUAUACUCUCUUUUUUAUCUUUUAAAUUUCUUCAAAUAAUAUAAAAGUCACUAGCUUUUUUUCCCCCUAAUUUCUUCAUAAUAGAAGGCAUCAAAUAGUGAGAAAAAAAUCCAACUCCAUGAUACCGGAUUGAAAAUCAAUCACUGUUCUGUUUGGUGAUUCUUGAUUGAUUAGCAAUUUUUAUCGUAGGUUUUCACUUUCUUAUUUUGAAAACCAGGAGCAAAAUGUAUGCUACCUCGCAUCCACGAUAGACAAUUUUUAUAUUUAUGAGAGUUCACCUCCCUUAAUGUUUCAUUGUCCAUGAUAAUGACCACAGGUAAUGACACUUUCCUAAAUGUUAAUUUCAACUAUUUAACAAAAUAUUGACUUCUCAGGUGGUCUUAUCAUGAUUUCGUAUCCUUUAAGCGCUCCGACGAUUCUAAUAACGAGGGUAGGGAAAGGGUGAAUCAUCAUAAUGUCCCUACAAGUCCACUGAGGCAUCUUAACUUAAGCUCAUCUUUCACUUGGUCCCUCUGUAACGGGAUAAGUCCCAAGUCACCUUUUGUCCUCCUUCCUGGAUGGAAAGUGGUACCUGAUUUUUGCAGAAGAGAUAGCAGAAACAAUCCGCAAAUUCACAGAAGGACAAAUGCUUCAUAAACAGAGCUCACUGUGAGGGAAAGGAUACAAGCGAGUGAUUCCCGCUGUCCAGGACUUUCCGAUAUUGCUUUGUCCCAAGUGUCUUGAUCCCGAUACAGAAGAAGCCGCUCAAAUCGUCUUCAUCCUCUAUCCUCAUCCUCAUGGACCUCUGUUUGGAAGAACAGGAAAUCACAACAUGAAGGGGGUUGGCCUUUUGGAAUCGCUGAUUCCUGAGACACGACCGACCAAAUUUGUUCUAUCCUAUGGAUCCAGUUCUCUUUAUCCGGCUGGGACAGCUAAUAGGACCCUGAAGGGAAUGCUCAGAUGACAUGGCUUCGUCUACUCAAAGAACAGCUCAUAGAUGAGAUAUUCUCAGUUUGAGAGGUGUAGAACAAGCAUAUGCAUCAUCAUUGCUGAAUUAGAAAACAUAUUCAACAAGCGCCAUCUUAAGCAAGUACUGCAAAAAAUUCAACCCAAAAACUAAUGACAAUAUCAAUAACCCGGGAAAAAAAAAUCAAGGGUAAGAAAAGGGCUCAGAUGGUUUUUGCUCACUCCUCGAAAAGAUUCAAACGAGACCUCCUCGUAAGUUAGAGGUGUCGAAGCAGAAGGACAUCAUCGCCCAUCAUUCAAACCAUUCAUUUUUAAUUUGAGUAAAUCUGAUCGAUUGUAAAUAUCUGUUAAGAAUGUCUGGCAAAAAACAUAACACCAACAGGAAAACUUGCCCAGGACUCCCCACUGAAAGCAACGGUAAAAAACAUCUCACAAAGCACCGUGAGUUUUAAAAACAGUGGUUAAAGAUGAAACUGCAAAGUGCUAACUUGACACAUCAAAAAUUUGAGUAAAUCGGAGAAUGGUUUCGAACCAUUCAUUUUUUUAAGGUUUAUCAGCAAUGCCUCAAAACAUCGCAAUCAAAAUCCCAGGAACUUGGGCGUUCUUCUAGUAAAAUUCACUCGCACUGGAACGAUUCGCAUGGCCUCCCUCCAUCCAUCAUCAAUUCAUCAUACGAACAACAGCGAAACAAUCGAGCCGACUCUCCAUUUAACCCCUUCUCCAAUCUUGCCCAAUCUAACCACUCCCCUUUAGAGAGCUUUCAAGAAAUCUAAGGCUGUGAACGCAUAUGCGAAAGCUUGAAGUGAAAAGGAUAGCAUGUGAAAACGGAACCUACCGUACAAAGACGACACCUUUUUGAUCAUCUCGCCAUCUCUUG
rnacentral:lncRNA from 1 species